rnacentral:rRNA from 1 species
GACGAACGCUGGCGGCGUGCUUAACACAUGCAAGUCGAACGGAAAGGCCCUGCUUUUGUGGGGUGCUCGAGUGGCGAACGGGUGAGUAACACGUGAGUAACCUGCCCUUGACUUUGGGAUAACUUCAGGAAACUGGGGCUAAUACCGGAUAGGAGCUCCUGCUGCAUGGUGGGGGUUGGAAAGUUUCGGCGGUUGGGGAUGGACUCGCGGCUUAUCAGCUUGUUGGUGGGGUAGUGGCUUACCAAGGCUUUGACGGGUAGCCGGCCUGAGAGGGGGACCGGCCACAUUGGGACUGAGAUACGGCGCAGACGCCUACGGGAGGCAGCAGUGGGGAAUAUUGCACAAUGGGCGGAAGCCUGAUGCAGCAACGCCGCGUGCGGGAUGACGGCCUUCGGGUUGUAAACCGCUUUCGCCUGUGACGAAGCGUGAGUGACGGUAAUGGGUAAAGAAGCACCGGCUAACUACGUG